GGAAAGGUGGCAGAGUGGUUGAAUGCAUCAGUUUUGAAAACUGACAUAGCAAAAACUAUCGGGGGUUCGAAUCCCCCCCUUUCCUC
rnacentral:tRNA from 1 species